rnacentral:rRNA from 1 species
UACGAAGGGGGCUAGCGUUGCUCGGAAUCACUGGGCGUAAAGGGUGCGUAGGCGGGUCUUUAAGUCAGGGGGGAAAUCCUGGAGCUCAACUCCAGAACUGCCUUUGAUACUGAAAGUCUUGAGUAUGGGAGAGGUGAGUGGAACUGCGAGUGUAGAGGUGAAAUUCGUAGAUAUUCGCAAGAACACCAGUGGCGAAGGCGGCUCACUGGCCCAUUACUGACGCUGAGGCACGAAAGCGUGGGGAGCAAACAGG